UUUCCGGGGAUUUUAGUAUCGACAAGUUUGCACAUAGUUACCACAUUACCUCAAACUGCUUCCUCUUUCCUGACUCAGCUGUACUAUUUUAACAACACUCUACUUGGUCAGAGUUUUCACACCUUUUUAUCUGAAGCUGAUCACUGAGAGAAGUCAUUUCAGGCUGCUCAGUGUAGGAUGUGCAUGUCUGUUAUUGAAUAAAGUAGAGAGGUUUGUCUGGAAGCUGCUGACUGGGUCAACGGAGGCUGAACACUGAGGAGACAUGGAAGCUGCGGUUGGACUGUUGCUGAUGCUACUCGGAGUCUCUCACGGUGUGGAAACCUACUGUGAUGGCAGACAGGAUGGAGCUCAGUGUUAUGGAGCUUUGGGAGGAACUGUGCUCCUCCAGCUGAUGGACAGCACCUCAAAGAUAUUUAGAUACCAAUUGUUUAAAAACACAACAAUAAUACUGCAUUGGAGAAAUAACAUGUUUUGUCUAAUCUGAUAGAAAACAGAUCCUCAUUUACUCCCAGUAAUGGAACAUUUAGGAUCAACAACCUGAUCAGGACUGAUGGUGGUGAAUAUACUCUUACAAACUUUGAUUCAAAUGCACAGAAAUCAGAGCCGCGGACUCUACAGUUAACCAUUCAAGCUCCUGUGUCCUCUGUCCCGCUGGUCUCUGAGUGUCUGUCCCAGGGAGAGAUGAGGGUGUCCUGCUCCUCUGAGGGAGGGGACAGUCCUCAGUACAGCUGGACUCUGGAUGGACACACACUGACAGACGCUCAGCUCCUCUCUGGAAAUAAUGAGACUAACAGCAUCACUCUGAAACAAGACGUCUCAGGACAGCUGGUCUGUUCAGUCAGGAAUCACAUCAGUAGGGUCUCGAAAGAAGAGCAGAUAUCUACCUGUGGCUUCAUAUUCAAUAACUGCACCUUAUCCAAUGGAACACACAUAUCACAGUGGGUUAAAGCCAAUAACAGCCUGUGUAUUGAGCCAACAAAAGCCCCUACCACGAUUACUACUGAGGAUCGCUCUCUGCUCAUAUGUGGUGUGCGAGCAGCUGUUGUGAUUCUUAUAUUAAUUGGGAUUGCCGUCUGUUUUGCUUGGAAGAAAAAGAAGAUAGCUGAAGGCUCUGCCGUCCCUCGAAAGAUGGAAUAUCAAGAGAACUCUGUUGUGAUGGUUGAAAUGAGAAGUUCUGCAUCUGAACUUUAACUUUCUGAAACCGACACCUUAGUGUCGCCUCUCACCUGCUGUGAUUGGCCAUGUGUCUUUAUGGAUGUGAAAAUUGGGUUUAGAGUGGAAAUUCUCAUCUGUUAUUAUUCUUCUCCGAUUCACUUCUUAGCAGCUCACUAUGAAUAUCUUCCUAUAAAAAAGGUGUGUGAGUGUUUUCUGCUUUUGUGUCACUGUGGAAGCUCUGAUAGAACUAAGGUUAUGUAUUGUAACUCUAGUUCUAUGAUCACAAGUGGAGCCGUCUGACUCUUUUCACUCGGUCACUUCACCAGUUGUUGACUUGGUGAAAGUGGGGUCAGAGUUUCCUUUACAUAGAGUGAAUUCAAGUGGAAAGACUGUCUUGUUGUAAAGGUUUCAGUGCACCGCUGCCUUUGGAGAGUGAAAAAGCACCCAGAGGCCCACAGCUCCACAGCACAGUUUAUCCUAAAGCAAAAUGUGAUGUUGUGAAUAAAGCUAAUAUUUUCAGAUAGUGCAACUCAUUUUGAUGAAGUUUGAAAAUUAUUGUACUGUAUAUUUCCACAUCAUCGCUGUCCAGUGAAAACAAUGUAUCUCCAAAUGUGGUGGUUUUGAAUUUUUCAGAUAAAAUGAAGGAUUAAGCGUUUCUUUAUGGGCUGAGCACAUUCUCCCAUUCUUCAGGUAAAUCAGCCAUUUUAAAACACACUGGAUUAUCUGAAAAAUGAUUGUCACAAAACUGGAAACAGGAAUAUUUUUCUGAAAAGAGAAAAGUUGAUGUUUUGGAGAUGAAUUGUUUUUACUUUUGUAUCAGUACUUGACUUUGUGGGUGUAUAUUAAAUGGUGAUUUUGCAUUCAAACUGUACACCAUAACAAAUAUGGGUAUAUUCACAUAUAUGAUUAAGGUGUUUAACUGUUGACUUGUGUAAAUAAUAGUUUUGUGUUUUUCUCAUCUGAUUAUAAUUACACAUAUAUGUCUGUUUUGCUUCCAUGUUUACAAAGAGCAAUAAUGUAAAACCUUUGAAAGCAUUUAAUAGCAAGAGCUUUAAUUUAGUUGCUUUCUAGUGUUGUUAUGUAUUCAGAACCUGUCAAUCAAUCAGUCAUGUGUCAUCAGUCCGUUUUGGUGAGCUACCUUUUUGUUGCCAUUUUGAUCAUGGACUGUGCCUUUAAUGACUGCUGAGAAUUGAAUAAAACUUCCAGACUCAUCA